ensembl:snRNA U1 U1 spliceosomal RNA
AUACUUACCACAGGGGAGAUCUUGUGAUCAGAAAGGUGGUUUUCCUAGGGCAAGGCUUGUCAAUUGCUCUCCAGGAUGUGCCAAACCCUGUGAUUUCCCCAACUGCAGGAAACUCAACUGCAUAAUUUGUGGAAGAGGCAGACUAUAUUUGUGUCCUCCCC